rnacentral:tRNA from 2 species
GCCGCUAUGGUGAAAUUGGUAGACA